GCUUAACACAUGCAAGUCGAACGGAAAGGCCCUGCUUUUGUGGGGUGCUCGAGUGGCGAACGGGUGAGUAACACGUGAGUAACCUGCCCUUGACUUUGGGAUAACUUCAGGAAACUGGGGCUAAUACCGGAUAGGAGCUCCUGCUGCAUGGUGGGGGUUGGAAAGUUUCGGCGGUUGGGGAUGGACUCGCGGCUUAUCAGCUUGUUGGUGGGGUAGUGGCUUACCAAGGCUUUGACGGGUAGCCGGCCUGAGAGGGUGACCGGCCACAUUGGGACUGAGAUACGGCCCAGACUCCUACGGGAGGCAGCAGUGGGGAAUAUUGCACAAUGGGCGGAAGCCUGAUGCAGCAACGCCGCGUGCGGGAUGACGGCCUUCGGGUUGUAAACCGCUUUCGCCUGUGACGAAGCGUGAGUGACGGUAAUGGGUAAAGAAGCACCGGCUAACUACGUGCCAGCAGCCGCGGUGAUACGUAGGGUGCGAGCGUUGUCCGGAUUUAUUGGGCGUAAAGGGCUCGUAGGUGGUUGAUCGCGUCGGAAGUGUAAUCUUGGGGCUUAACCCUGAGCGUGCUUUCGAUACGGGUUGACUUGAGGAAGGUAGGGGAGAAUGGAAUUCCUGGUGGAGCGGUGGAAUGCGCAGAUAUCAGGAGGAACACCAGUGGCGAAGGCGGUUCUCUGGGCCUUUCCUGACGCUGAGGAGCGAAAGCGUGGGGAGCGAACAGGCUUAGAUACCCUGGUAGUCCACGCUGUAAACGGUGGGUACUAGGUGUGGGGUCCAUUCCACGGGUUCCGUGCCGUAGCUAACGCUUUAAGUACCCCGCCUGGGGAGUACGGCCGCAAGGCUAAAACUCAAAGGAAUUGACGGGGCCCCGCACAAGCGGCGGAGCAUGCGGAUUAAUUCGAUGCAACGCGUAGAACCUUACCUGGGUUUGACAUGGAUCGGGAGUGCUCAGAGAUGGAUGUGCCUCUUUUGGGGUCGGUUCACAGGUGGUGCAUGGCUGUCGUCAGCUCGUGUCGUGAGAUGUUGGGUUAAGUCCCGCAACGAGCGCAACCCUUGUUCACUGUUGCCAGCACGUUAUGGUGGGGACUCAGUGGAGACCGCCGGGGUCAACUCGGAGGAAGGUGGGGAUGACGUCAAGUCAUCAUGCCCCUUAUGUCCAGGGCUUCACGCAUGCUACAAUGGCUGGUACAGAGAGUGGCGAGCCUGUGAGGGUGAGCGAAUCUCGGAAAGCCGGUCUCAGUUCGGAUUGGGGUCUGCAACUCGACCUCAUGAAGUCGGAGUCGCUAGUAAUCGCAGAUCAGCAACGCUGCGGUGAAUACGUUCCCGGGGCUUGUACACACCGCCCGUCAAGUCAUGAAAGUUGGUAACACCCGAAGCCGGUGGCCUAACCGUUGUGGGGGAGCCGUCGAAGGUGGGACUGGUGAUUAGGACUAAGUCG
rnacentral:rRNA from 1 species